rnacentral:rRNA from 1 species
AUUGAACGCUGGCGGCAUGCCUUACACAUGCAAGUCGAACGGUAACGGGCCUUCGGGUGCCGACGAGUGCGAACGGGUGAGUAAUGUAUCGGAACGUACCUUUCAGUGGGGGAUAACGUAGCGAAAGUUACGCUAAUACCGCAUAUUCUGUGCGCAGGAAAGCAGGGGAUCGCAAGACCUUGCGCUGAUUGAGCGGCCGAUAUCAGAUUAGCUAGUUGGUGAGGUAAAGGCUCACCAAGGCGACGAUCUGUAGCGGGUCUGAGAGGAUGAUCCGCCACACUGGAACUGAGACACGGUCCAGACUCCUACGGGAGGCAGCAGUGGGGAAUUUUGGACAAUGGGGGCAACCCUGAUCCAGCCAUGCCGCGUGAGUGAAGAAGGCCUUCGGGUUGUAGAGCUCUUUCGGCCGGGAAGAAAUCGUAUCAGCUAAUACCUGGUGCGGAUGACGGUACCGGCAUAAGAAGCACCGGCUAACUACGUGCCAGCCGCCGCGGUAAUAC